UACCCAGCAACUCCUAUCCCUACCUCCUCGUGGUACUGGCCGGGGUACGAGUAACCUUGGGGAAGAUCGGGUAACCAUCCCCCGGUGGGAACUUUGGUCGUAUGCUGACAGGGAAGG
rfam:Aedes aegypti strain Liverpool supercont1.630 genomic scaffold, whole genome shotgun sequence.